rnacentral:rRNA from 1 species
CUACGUGCCAGCAGCCGCGGUAAUACGUAGGUGGCAAGCGUUGUCCGGAUUUAUUGGGCGUAAAGCGAGCGCAGGCGGUUUUUUAAGUCUGAUGUGAAAGCCUUCGGCUCAACCGAAGAAGUGCAUCGGAAACUGGGAAACUUGAGUGCAGAAGAGGACAGUGGAACUCCAUGUGUAGCGGUGAAAUGCGUAGAUAUAUGGAAGAACACCAGUGGCGAAGGCGGCUGUCUGGUCUGUAACUGACGCUGAGGCUCGAAAGUAUGGGUAGCAAACAGGAUUAGAUACCCUGGUAGUC